rnacentral:rRNA from 1 species
AUGGUGGUGAGGCGGUUGCCGGCGCGGCGGCGGGGCGUGCGGGUCGGCCCGACCAAGCUCGAGGGCCUGCCGGCCGCGUGGUCGGCCCCCGCCGUGGCCGCCGUCAAGGUCAAGUGGCCCGGCGCCGGCGGGGCGCUCUCGCAGAUGCUCACGGGCCGGCGCGGCGGCCGCGGGGUCACCGCCGUCGAGCCCGUCGGCGGCGACGGCGCCGUCCGCUGGGACGCCGCCGCCGACGCCAACCGCUUCCGCGUCGACGUCGACCCCGGCGCCAGCACGACGCGCGGCGGGGCCGGCGCCGGCCGGCCGGAGCGCGGCGUCUUCUUCUCCGUCCUCUACGGAUUCCAGGAACAAGGGAGGGGCAAGGACCUGGUGAGGCUGGACGAGAUCGGGACAGCCAUGAUCAGCCUGGAGGAGUGCUGCUGGGAGAUGCAGCUGCUGCAGCAGCAGCAGCAGCAGAAAGUUGGGGCUCCUCUGCAGCAGCUGGUGGUUGUCCCCAUCAGGGUCCGGAAGGACGGGUGGGCAAGCGAUGCCAUGCUCUAUGUGAACGUGGAGCUGGUGGACCUGAGCGCGCCGGCGGAGGUGGAGAGGAGCGUGUCCUUCAGGGAGAAGCCGAGGGCGAACCCCACGCCGGCCCCGACGAUGAGGGAGAUCCACAGGGGCUCGACGUACCACGAGGUCCUUGACCUGAAGCAGCUGCUCGACCUCGCCGAGAAGCAGGGCAGGGUGGCGGUGUACCGGAACAAGCGCAACUCGGACACCAGCAGCGCCAGCAGUGGCGGCGGCAUGAGCAGCAGCAGCAGCACCGUCAGCCUGAGCAGCGCCAGCACCAGCACCAGCGGCGGCGCCAGCCCGGAGCCCGGGUCGACCUCCAAGCGCCGGUUCCUGCCGUGGCGGCGGCGCAGCCGGGAGUCGCUGUCCCAGGAGAUGCCCGUCGUCAAAUGCUGCGUGGGAGGGGACGACGAGGAUGCCUGGGAGGCGCGCGAGUUCACGAGCCGGGACUCGGAGACGAGGCUCCGGACGCCGGUCUUCUUCGCGUCCAUCGACCAGCGCGACGACAGCGCCGGCGGCGAGAGCGCGUGCACGGCGCUGGUGGCCGUGCUGGCGGCGGCGCUCCACGCCAACCACCCGCUGAUGCCGACCCGGGCGGAGCUGGACGCGCUCAUCCGCGACGGCUCGUCCGAGUGGAGGCGGCUCUGCGACGACGAGGCGCACAUGGCGCAGUUCCCCAACCGGCACUUCGACCUGGAGACGGUGCUGGCGGCGCGAACGCGGCCCAUCGCCGUGGAGCACGACAGGGCCUUCGUCGGCUUCUUCCAGCCGGAGAGCUUCGCGUCGCUGUCGGGCGCCAUGUCGUUCGACGACAUCUGGCGCGAGAUCAGCGCCGGCGCCGCCGCCCGCGAGCGCGCCCCGGGCGAGGCCGACGUGUACAUCGUCAGCUGGAACGACCACUUCUUCGUGCUCAAGGCCGAGAGCGACUGCUACCACGUCGUGGACACGCUCGGCGAGCGGCUCUUCGAGGGCUGCGACAAGGCCUACAUGCUCAGGUUCGACGCCACGUCGGAGAUGCGCGCCGUGCCGUCGCCGGACUCGUCGCCGUCGUCGGGGCCGGAGGAGGAGGUGGUGGUCGCCACCGGGAAGGAGUGCUGCGGCGAGUUCAUCAAGAGGUUCCUGGCCGCCAUCCCGCUGAGGGAGGAGCUGCACAUCGAGCAGAGCGGGUGCGCCGACGCCGGCGCGCCCCACCGGCGGCUGCAGAUUGAGUUCCACUUCACCGUGCUGCAGCAGCAGCAGCAAGACGGAGGGAGAUGA